rnacentral:rRNA from 1 species
CGGGAAUUUUGCGCAAUGGAGGAAACUCUGACGCAGUGACGCCGCGUAUAGGAAGAAGGUUUUCGGAUUGUAAACUAUUUUAGUCAGGGAAGAAAAAUGACAGUACCUGAAGAAUAAGCUCCGGCUAACUACGUGCCAGCAGCCGCGGUAAUACGUAGGGAGCAAGCGUUAUCCGGAUUUAUUGGGUGUAAAGGGUGCGUAGACGGGAAGACAAGUUGGUUGUGAAAGCCCUCGGCUCAACUGAGGAACUGCAACCAAAACUAUCAUUCUUGAGUGCGGGAGAGGAAAGUGGAAUUCCUAGUGUAGCGGUGAAAUGCGUAGAUAUUAGGAGGAACACCAGUGGCGAAGGCGACUUUCUGGACCGUAACUGACGUUGAGGCACGAAAGUGUGGGGAGCAAAC